UACGUAGGGGGCUAGCGUUGUCCGGAAUCAUUGGGCGUAAAGCGCGUGUGAGCGGCCCGGUAAGUCCGCCGUCAAAUCCCAGGGCUCAACCCUGGACAGGCGGUGGAAACUACCAAGCUGGAGUACGGUAGGGGCAGAGGGAAUUUCCGGUGGAGCGGUGAAAUGCGUAGAGAUUGGAAAGAACACCGAUGGCGAAGGCACUUUACUGGGCUAUUACUAAACACUCAGAGACGAAAAGCUAGGGUAGCAAAUGGGG
rnacentral:rRNA from 1 species